rnacentral:lncRNA from 1 species
CACAAAUAAACAUAAGACAAUGUAUUUUUUUUUUAAUUUGGAACACAAAUGCUUUAUUUAAGGGUGCAUCACAAUUCCCGUGUGGUGAGCAAAAAAUAAAAUAAAGGAGCAGAUCGUAGCACACCAUUCCCACUGGCCAAGUGGUUGAACCCUGCAUCCAAGACCCAGUGAGCAGCCAAGUGAGGUGCAACCUCUGGGCCUCUCACUCAUGACUCCAACAGAAUUAGCACAUUGCCCUUGUGCAUGGGGCCUUUUACAUUGCAGAUUUUGGAGCAGCAAGACAAUGUAUAUCUGUUCGUAACUCUUGUUCUUCCCUCCUGAUUUUUAAAACUGCGUAAUUAUAAAACUAUGUUGAUGGACAUAUAAUUAUUAUAAAGAUGUAGUUUGUGACAAUAACAGCAUGGGCAGAAUGAAGGCAUAUAGAGCAAAUUUUUCAUUACUGAAAUUAAGUUGAGAUUAAUCUGAAACAGAUAAAACAGACUUGUUUUACAACCUCCUGUAAUAAAAACGCUGUCUUUUAAAACAAAUUAUCUAUUGCACUUUUUUGUUUUUGGUGUCACAGCUAUGAAAGCUUUGCCUAGAGAAUUAUCACAAAUACUUACAUUUUUUGUAAGUUUUACAGUUUUUGCUUGUAUUUAGGUCUAUGAUCCAUUUUGAGUUAAUUUUUGUGUACAUAGUGUGAAGAACACUUUUUCUUCAAACUUUUUGUUUCAGAUUGCAUAUCCUCUAUCAAUCUGCAGGUUUGCUGAUUCUUUCUUCUGCCAUCUCAAAUCUAGUAUUGAGCCUUUCUAGUAACUUUUAAAAUUGUAGUUAUUGUACUUUUCAACUCCAGAAUUUUCAUUUAGUUCUUUAAAAAAAAUUUCUAUCUCUAUGUUCUCUACUUGGUGAGACAUUAGAAUACUUUCCUUAAUUCUUCACAUCUGGCUUCCUUUAGUUCUUUGGGUUUACUUAUUUAUUUUGAGGUGGAGUCUCGCUGCCUCCCAGGCUGGACAGCAAUGGCGCAAUCUCGGCUCACUGCAACCUCUGCCUCCUGAGUUCAAGCGAUUCUCCUGCCUCAGCCUCCUGAGUAGCUGGGACUACAGGCGCCCACCACGCUUGGCCAAUUUAUUUUUAGUAGAGACGGGGUUUCACCAUUUUGGCCAGGCUGGUCUCAAACUCCUGGCCUCAAGUGAUCCACCCACCUCAGCCUCCCAAACUGCUGGCAUUACAGGCAUGAACCACUGCACUCAGCCUUUUGAACAUACAUUUGUAACAGCUGCUUAGCAUUUAUCCUAAAUUUGGUAUCCCUCAAAACUUUAUAUUUCCUACAUUUCUCUGUCAUAUAGGACACAUACUUUUCUGUUUCUUUGCAUAUCUCAAUUUUUGUGUUGAAACUGGACAUUUUAGGUAACACAGAUCUCUGCAUACUGAUCAUCUUCCUUUAGUGACUUGGCUUGACUAAUUAAUGUAUGGCUUGAAGACUGCUUUCACUACUUAAGGAGUUUACAAGUUUGCCCUUCAUUUGGCCAGGAACUUGUAGUUUAGAAGUUCUCUCUGGUCAGUCCUCUGAGAUGGCAGCCUUCAGCAUGCACAGUCUUCCUGAUCACAAGGGAUGUCUGUAGUUUUAUCUAGGUUGUCUCUUUCCCUGAUCCUUUCUUUCUUUUUGAGACAGAGUCUCGCUCUGUCGCCUAGGCUGGAGUGCAGCGGUGCGAUCUCGGCUCACUGCAAGUUCCGCCUCCCGGGUUCACACCAUCCUCUUGCCUCAGACUCUCGAGUAGUGGGACUACAGGUGCACGCUGCCAUGCCUGGCUAUUUUUUUGUAUUUUUAGGAGGGACGCAGUUUCACCGUGUUAGCCAGGAUGGUCUCGAUCUCCUGACCUUGUGAUCCGCCCGUCUCGGCCUCCCAGAGUGCUGGGAUUACAGACUGAGCCACCGUGCCUGGCCUCCCUGAUCCUUUCUUUAAGCUUCUGGUUAUCUAUUGGAAUGACCUGGCAACUGUUGAACCUCCACUGUUACUGAUUGCUCUACUGUUUUCUACAAUACUCUGAAGUCUGUUACAAAUAAAGUCAGGCCCUGUGACAGUUAAUUUUCAGUGUCAACUUGAAUGCAUUAAGGAAUACCUAGACAACUGGUAAAACAUUAUUUCUGAAUGUGUCUGUGAGGGUGUUUUCAGAGACUGGUAUGUGAGCCAUUACACUGAAUGGGGAAGAUUUGCCCACAAUGUGAUUGACGCACAAUCCAAACAGCUAGGAGCCUGGACAGAAGGAAAAGAGAAAAAGCUAAUUCUCUCUCCACUAACUUCCUCCCCCCACGCCUAACGCCAUACCCCAGGAGCUGAGACAGCUUUAUUUUCAUGCCCUUGGACAUCAGAACUCCAGGGUUUCAGGCCUUUGGAUUCGAGGACUUACACCCGUGGCCCCUUGGUUCUCAGGCCUUCUAUCUCAGUCUGAGAGUUACACCACCAGUUUUCCUGGUUCUGAGGCUUCUGGACUUCGACUGAGUCAUGCUACCACCAUCACUACGUCUCUAGCUUGCAGACAGCCUAGUGUGGGACUUCCUAGCCUCCAUAAUUACAUAACCUAAUUCCCUCAAGACAUGCCCUCAUAUUGGUUCUGUAUCUCUGAAAAACCCUAAUUCAGGCCUCUUGUAAUAAUGUGUUGUCAGUUUUUGAAGCUUACUCCAACCCUCCACUGAACAGAACCUCUGUACCUUUAUGCUAUGGAACAGCUGGAGGAUAGAAAGAAUGGUAAAUCAGCUCUUCAGUGAAUGCCCAAACCACAAUCCUCCCUGUAAAGCAGCUCUGUUAGAGGAAGAGGGUAAUGGGGGUAGGGGUGGGGGACAAAGUUCUAAAAAUGUAAUCUGCUAAGCAGGUAUAUUUAGUCUUCCACUCAGAAAUACUAUGUAUCUCCCAGUUAUAUCUUACAGGUUUGGUUUGGUGUCUGUUUUUUUUUUUUUUUUUUUGGUUGUUGUUGUUUUUUGGCAGGCUUGUAUUAUUUUGUGCCUCUUAUUAUAGACGGGUCUUACUGGCUGGGCAUGGUGGCUCAUGCCUAUAAUCCCAGACUUUGGGAGGCCAAGGCAGGUGAAUCACUUGAGGUCAGGAGUUUAAGACCAGCCUAGCCAACAUGGUGAAACCCCAUCGCUACUAAAAAUAUGAAAAUUAGCUGGGUAUCGUGGUGGGCACCUGUAAUCCCACUACAGGAGCGGUACUUGAACCCGGGAGGCAGAGGCUGCAGUGAGCCAAGACUGUGCCACUGCACUCCAGCCUGGGGAACAGAGUGAGACUCCAUCUCGAAAAAUAAAUAAAUGGGUCUUCUUUUAUUGUUCCCCAGUUGAUUACUGUUAAUUGUUCAGGAAAGUAACUAAUUUUCAGUGUACUCCUUUAAACUUCCAAGAUAUUAAAAGCAAGUCAUCUACAAGAGUAUUUUGGUCUCUCUCCCAAAUUUAACUUUCAUUUUGCUUUCCUAUUCUUUGACAUUAGCAAUAGCUUAUGAUGUAAUUGAUGAUCGCAGGCAACAUUUCACUCCUUAAUUGAAAGAUGUAUUUCAUGAGUUGCCACAUAAACAUAACCCUUACUUUUGGUUUAAGCACUUUGAAGUAUAUGGAAAAAUUCUUAUUUUAACACAUUAGAAAUGUCUUUACUAGGAAAAAGUAUUUAAAUUAAGCACAUUCUUGGCAUCUCCUAAAUUCAUGACUUCUAAAAUUGAUGUACAUUAUAUUUUUUCCACACUAUUUACUUGAAAGUUUCCACUCUUGUAACAAUUAUUCUCGUUUUAAAAAGAUUCCUAAAUUUGGAGGCAUUAACAGAAGCUUUGUUAAACUAGUCAAAAAGCACCUCAAAGAUGACUUCAUGAAAUACUUCCUCCAAGAUACUAAUUACUUCUCAAUUCUCCAGUUAUUAAGAGAGGCAUACAUAAAUUAAUAAACAUCAAACUCAACCAUUUCAACUCUCCAUUACAGGAAAAAGUUUCCACUAAUGCCAUACUCUGCUAACUAGCAACAAAUACCACCCUGAAAAAUCCCCCCAGUAAGUUUUGCUAGAUGAGAUCCCCAAUGGGUCAAGGUAGUAUGCUGAGAGCAAGGAUCCUAACAAGUUGCUAAGGCAAAGAACAGAGCCAACGCCCCAAAUGGCUCUGUUAAGAAAGUUAAGGAAGGAAGUAGAUGUCAAUGGUGAAAAGGAAUCUUAUUUUUAAAAAAUCAAGAUAAGCUGUAUGGAAUUAGUAUAUAAUAUUCUGUUUUUAAUUCACCUCCAUUUUCUCCCACCCCAAGAACUUCUAUUACUUUUUCUUAACAGCUAUUUCAAAUCACUGAAAGAAUAUCUAAGUCCUUUUCCCA